GUUUGAAAAACUGACCAACAGCUCAGAUUUAACUGUCUGUAGUUCCAUUUUGAUGGAUGUUAAACUUUCACUCAAAGCUGCCAGGAGCUGGGUCUUUAAAAUAACCGCCGUCUCAUUACAGAGUGAAAGUAGCAGUUCCUCCUGAAGGUCAGAGAUUGCAGCAUCUGAGGGCCUCUUCAAAAGAAGACGUAGCUGAUGAAGGUAUUCUGGAGCAGGACCAGAAAGACCACGACCAAGCAGCCUUGAGAUCUUAGGCAGCGUCUCCCUCAGGUCCCUCUCUAUCUCCCCACACAUCCACCAACCACUGGAACACAUCUCCAAAGUUCUGCUGGACCAGCUCAGCUUCCCCUCAGAAGAAGUGCUGCCACCUGACAGAUGAAGGAGCCUUUUGAGAGGCAGCUGGCAUCGUGAUUGGACUGUACUUUGGUCUGUUCCAAUCCAGCUUCAGCUCCAGAGACGGCAGGCGGGACGAGUCAACGGAGGCCGGGUGGACGAAGGCAUGCAGCUGAGUACAAUCCAGAAAACAACAGAGGAGGAGUGCAGCAGCCCAGAGCCAGAACAACCAGAGUAGCAUCACCAAAGAACUACAGACUCUUCACAACCUGCUCAAACUCUUGGUACAGGACCUCACCACACGGGUCAAGAAGGUUUCUGUCUCAUUUCUACUCUGAAGCUCACCUUCUCCUGCUCAAACUGCUGACAAAUGUUUCUGCUGCUCUAAAGUCUGCUCUCCAGAACUUCCUAAAAAAAUCUCAAAGUCUCUUCUGCUACAGGUUGCUUUGUAGAAC
ensembl:lncRNA